UUGUCUACUAAUUAUAGACCUGUAUGAAAGGCAACAUGAGGGUCUAACUGUCUCUUAUAAUAAAUCAAUGAAACUGAUCUUCUAGUAAAAAAGCUAGAAUAACCCCAUAAGACCAGAAGACCCUGUGAAGCUUAAACCAAACUAUUAAAACACAUAAUAAUUAAUUUCGGUUGGGGCGACCUUGGAAAAAAAAAGAACUUCCAAACACUAUGAAUAAUACCUCAUAAUAUACUAGGCCCACAAGCCAAUUAAACGACCCAGCACAGCUGACAACUGAACCAAGUUACUCCAGGGAUAACAGCGCAAUCUUCUUCAAGAGCCCAUAUCAAAAAGCAAGGUUUACGACCUCGAUGUUGGAUCAGGACAUCCUAAUGGUGCAGCCGCUAUUAAGGGUUCGUUUGUUCAACGAUU
rnacentral:rRNA from 1 species